rnacentral:rRNA from 1 species
UGGUGGGGUGACUUGUCUGCUUAAUUGCGAUAACGAACGAGACCUUAACCUGCUAAAUAGCCCGCCAUUGCUCCGGCAGUGCGCUGGCUUCUUAGAGGGACUUUCGGCUCAAGCCGAAGGAAGUUUGAGGCAAUAACA